UACGUAGGGUGCGAGCGUUAAUCGGAAUUACUGGGCGUAAAGCGUGCGCAGGCGGUUAUGUAAGACAGUUGUGAAAUCCCCGGGCUCAACCUGGGAAUUGCAUCUGUGACCGCAUAGCUAGAGUACGGUAGAGGGGGAUGGAAUUCCGCGUGUAGCAGUGAAAUGCGUAGAUAUGCGGAGGAACACCGAUGGCGAAGGCAAUCCCCUGGACCUGUACUGACGCUCAUGCACGAAAGCGUGGGGAGCAAACAGG
rnacentral:rRNA from 1 species